GUUGGCUGAGGUAUAUAGUUGUGUGUGGAGGCUUAACAACGCUCAUAAUAAUUGCUGUGGCAGUCAACAUAUGGACAAGAAAAGGCAAAACACAGAUGGAUGACAAUGCUGUGCAUGAUGAUGAAGAUGAUGGUACAGUGAUCUAUGAAAAUGUUGGAGAACCUUCAGCUUCUGUCAGACUCCACUCAUCAUCAGCUUAAACAUCAUCUCACUAGAAAAAAAGAGUCCCCUGCAGUUAAU